UACAGAGGUGGCAAGCGUUGUUCGGAAUUACUGGGCGUAAAGGGCGCGUAGGCGGCCUUCUAAGUCAGACGUGAAACCCCCCGGCUUAACCUGGGAACUGCGUCUGAUACUGGGAGGCUUGAGUAUGGGAGAGGGAUGUAGAAUUCCAGGUGUAGCGGUGAAAUGCGUAGAUAUCUGGAGGAAUACCGGUGGCGAAGGCGGCAUCCUGGACCAUAACUGACGCUGAGGCGCGAAAGCUAGGGGAGCAAACGGG
rnacentral:rRNA from 1 species